GUCUGAAGACGCAGCGGUGUCACCUUAGUGGGGUGGGGCGGGGCAACUGAGCGGAGCCCGGGUCCCGGUCCUCUGAACGUCGUGAAGGCGCUGCAGGGAGCGGGGCUGGACAAGGCUCCGAGAAAGUUUGGAUGUUAACAUUCCCUUCUACUCCAGCCUGCCUUUAAGCGCUCACAAGAAGGGAAGGAAUAAAUUGCCGCUGCCUGUUUAAAAGGAAUGAUGGCCAGGUGAAUGGCUCAGUGGGUAGAGGAGUUUGCUGUCCAGCCUAAGGGCUUGAGUUUGAUCCAGUUUCUUCCACAUCAUGGCAGAAAACAGACUCCUGCAAGUUGUCCUCCGACUUCCACACGUGUGCCGUGGCAACCAUGUAGCCUCUCCCACACAUCACAUCAUACACAGGAAUAA